UCGAGGAUUAAUCGAGAAUGA
rnacentral:piRNA from 1 species